rnacentral:misc_RNA from 1 species
UAAUAAUUAAAUAAUAUAAAGUGUGAAUAUCUAUUUAAAUACUCUGUAAAUAAAAAAUAUUAAAAAUAAGUAUAUAUAAAAAAGACUAGGAAACGACGAGAAAAAAAUAAAAUUAAAAUGAUGCAUGCUUUAAAAUCUGUGUAGAUCUAUGUACUUCUUUAUUAAAUCAAAUUGCUUAUUGGUUAAGGUACUUGAUAUGUGGUCUUUCUUUACUUGAUUUGCUUCUUAAUCCAAUUAUUAAUUCUUAUCAUUUGUUUAUUAGCAAAAUUAAAGAUGAAUUCCUGCUUGAUUGCUUGUUGCUAUCUAUUUAAAAAAAAAUUUUAAAAAAAUUUACUAUAUAUUCACUUGUAGAUGAUUUUCAUGACAUAAAAGAGCAACGCGUUCUUUUUUAAUAUGUUACAUAUGAUAAUAGUCGUAGAUUGUUGGGAAAUUUUGAUGUCAUAUUAUUCGAUGCUGGGAAUUGGUUAGAAUUUGGUAUAUGGUUAUUUUGGAUUGUAAAUCUUUGUAUCUCAAGGUUCUAAUGUGUUUUGUGUUGAGUUAAGCGACAAACUAAUAAGACUGUUCAUGGUUUAACUUGGGCGGCUUUAUUACCUGCUAUUCUCACAUUUUAGUAAGAGUACCUUUGAAUUUUGGAUCCUUUCCAUAAUUAAGUUUGCAUCUGCCCCUGAGUAUGUGUAAAAGUAUUUUAUCACUAUCAUUAUAAAUUUUUUUAAUUAAUUGUAUUAAUAUGUUAAAGGUAUAAAUUUACAAGGAUCUAUGGUUUGAUAAAAAAUUUGUACUACUAAAAGUAUUUAGAUCUAAUAAUUGUGAAUGAUAUUACGAUUUUGGUUUGGUUAACCAUUGGUUUUAUAAAUUAAAAAUCAUAAUUUAGUUCAUCAACUCAAUUAACUAAUUUUUCAUAUUGGUUUUAAGUUUUUGGGAUUUUUUUUAGCUCAACCCCAGAGUUAGGGGUGUAAAAAACUGUUCAAUUAGUUGAAGGUAAAUUUCUAUGUAUGAAGCCUUUCCAUGUUCCUACUUGAAGCUUGAUGCUAGAUGCUUUAUCUAAGUUUUCGGCCUUGUUUGUAAAUGGGAGCUCUAAUUUUCAUGUAUAACAUGUUGGAGUAAUAAUUUAUGAUAUGCUGAAUUUAUUUUUAGUGAUUCCUGAGUUUCCUAAUUCUUGGUUCUUCAUACUCCACCAGAGUAUUUUUCGACGAGUUGCUUCAUAUGAGGGCCCUGAGGAUUUUAGAAAAGAUAUGAGGUAAAAUCUACUCCAUUAGUCUUUUGUAUUUAUGCUACCAUUUGUGAACAAAUUCAAUACACCGACAAAUCUAGAAUUAAAAUUUUGGAGGGGCCAAAGUAUAAAUAAGAAAUACAUAUGCAAAAAUAUACGAGUAUUAUAUCAUAAAAAUAAAAAUAAUAUAUAAAAAAUCUUAAAAAUCCUUAGAAUAAGUGACAUAUAUUUAGUAAACUAACAAUAAAAAGAUCAAUUAGAGAAUUAAAAGGAUUGAAAACAGAUUAAAAUGCGCAAAAUUAGUAAUUAAAUGACUUAUGUAUUAUUCAUUUAAUAAUAACACAAAUUUUUUUUUUUAUUUGGGAGGGGCUGAUUUCAAAAAAAUUAUUAAUAAUUUGAUUUUAUUUUUGUUAAUCAUAUCUUAAAUUAUUAUUUCUUUUAAGCUUGGGGGGCCAAGGCCCCUAUCGCCUCCCUGGAUUUAUCUAUGAUUCAGUAUAAGUUUGCAUUUCAUACCCUUGCUCAUAAACAAGGUUUGUACCCAUUGACAUCGUCUUUUCUGUUCCCUUACCUUAAUUUUAUGUAAAAAUUGCAAUAUGGUUUUCACCAUGAUGAUGAUGAUGAUGAUAAAGAAUUGUAUAAAAUAUACAUUGCAAUGACAGCACCAAACUAGAGAGGAGGGGGGAGGGCAAUGAAUAUUAAUUUUAAGUCUCUCCUAUAAAAAUGAGGAUGACUGUGGGGAUGGGGGAAAAUUUUCUGCCCAUUAGGGGGGCAAAUGGAAAGGACAGGCUGGGGAAUGGCUCCUUAUCUCUAUAACUCUAUUGCCAUUCCUAAGUCGCAUAAAUGCAUUUUUGAAUGGCUAUUAGAAUUCAGAUCUUGAUCCUUUCAGCACUCCAAAGUCAUGUUGAUUAGUUUAGGCCAUGUUUCAGUCACUGUGAUUGAUAUUUAAACCAGUUAUUACACUAACAUCAACAUUCUUAUACCUCUACUAGUCAUUUUUAUCAAGUAUUUAUUGAUUUUGAUGUUGGAUUCAUUUUUCCAGUAGUAUGACCAAGUUUUUGGGUUGCCCAAAUAUCAGUUAUUAGGAUUCUUUUUCUAUUUAUUUAUUCAUUUAUUGUUGGAAGGUUGUUGCUUGCUCCUGUAAGAAUUGGAGCUCAGGCAUUUUCAUGGGUUGCUGGAAAACUAGAAACCAGCGGCAUUGGACUCCCAACGUCACCUUCAUCGUCAGAUGUUCAAACCCGGGUGCUGCAAGCUGCUGCAAAGCAUGAAUCUCAACCAUCUGAUACUGAAGAAGUUCAGAAUCCAUCUGCUGAAUCAUCGACUCCAAUAAAUGAGAAUGUAGAUUUUUCAGAAGCAUAGGCAUUGGAAUUGGCCUUAAAUAAUCAUUCCUACAUUUGAGAAUUGAACUAAUCUUUCCAACGUAUAAAGUGUAGUAAUAAACAUCCCACGGUAUGACUUCUUUGAAAUUGAGUUUUGCACUUUACAUCAGAUCAAUCAAGCAAGUUUGUACGUCUCAAAUUUUUAUUCCUUUUGAUGAGGACAGAGACAUAACAGUCAUAAGCAUACUUUUAUGCACAUGGCAUUUACAAUGCUAUGAAUCACUCAUAUGUUCUCAUAUCAUAACAGGAAGGGACAACAGAAUCACUCGCAGCCUAUUACAUGCUUUGUUGGCUGCAAGUAAAACUGGUAUGAAAAGAGAAUAAUACAUGAUGCAUGUCAAAAUGUGGGCAAUAAAAAGGAAAAUAGACAUAAUAUCAAGAAGUUGGAAUCAUGGGUAUCAAGAAAUAUGCACACAAACAAAAGCAAGAUAACUCUUAAUAGUUCUUUCAAAAUAUUCAACUAACCAACUUAGUGAGCUAUUGACUAUGCUUUCAGGAGCUCAGCUCAAAAUAUUCAUUCUUCUGGUAAUCAACCCCAACUCCAACAAUCCAAACACUAAGACAAAAUGCCCUCAAAAGAGGAAAACCAAGACUACUGCAGAAAUGUUUUACAGGGUGAUGGAUUUCUCUGGAUUCGACAUAUCACCAGUUGUUAGAUCAACAGGGCAUGUUUUAUGUGGUCCACUUUUGUUUCCCAUUACCACCAUUGGUGGUGGGGAUAGUAACCCUGCAUUGAAAAGAAUGUUUCGUACAGGGUCUGAAGGCUGGGCACCAACUGAUAGCCAAUACUUCACUCUGUCGAAUUUGAGGCCCACUUUCUUAUUGUCCUCUUUACCAGCCAAGGGAUUAUAGAAACCAAGGACUUGAAGAAUCUUGCCAUCUCUAGGUGAUUUGCUAUCAGCAGCAACGAUCCUGUAAAAUGGUCUGUUCCUGCAUCCGCAUCUCUCCAAUCGUAUCUUCACUGCCAUUUGCUCUUUUGAUUCAGCAAACUUCCCUCAGAGAUUAACAGCAGGAAGGCGAGCCUACUUAGUCGAGGGUUUUAG